CUUCUAUGUAGGAAGAUAUGGAAGCGAACCAAGCCCCCAAAAAGAAAAGAAAGGCACCCUCCAGCGCACCUGUAAGCGCGAAUGAAGGACGUGUUUUGAGGUCUAGGGUAUCAAAAGAUCAAGAUCAUGUUGAUCUUGAGCAUCAGCCUUCCAAAGAGAUUACUCGUGAGCUUGAUGGUGAUGGUAGUCAAAAGAAAGGUGGAA